rnacentral:rRNA from 1 species
UUAAGUGACUAAGCGUACACGGUGGAUGCCUAGGCAGUCAGAGGCGAUGAAGGGCGUGCUAAUCUGCGAAAAGCGUCGGUAAGGUGAUAUGAACCGUUACAACCGGCGAUACCCGAAUGGGGAAACCCAGUGUGUUUCGACACACUAUCAUGUCAUGAAUACAUAGUGGCAUGAGGCGAACCGGGGGAACUGAAACAUCUAAGUACCCCGAGGAAAAGAAAUCAACCGAGAUUCCCCCAGUAGCGGCGAGCGAACGGGGAGGAGCCCAGAACCUGAAUCGGCUUGUGUGUUAGUGGAAGCGUCUGGAAAGUCGCGCAGCAAAGGGUGAUAGCCCCGUACACUAAAAUGCACAGGUCGUGAGUUCGAUGAGUAGGGCGGGACACGUGACAUCCUGUCUGAAUAUGGGGGGACCAUCCUCCAAGGCUAAAUACUCCUGACUGACCGAUAGUGAACCAGUACCGUGAGGGAAAGGCGAAAAGAACCCCGGCGAGGGGAGUGAAAUAGAACCUGAAACCGUGUACGUACAAGCAGUGGGAGCACCUUCGUGGUGUGACUGCGUACCUUUUGUAUAAUGGGUCAGCGACUUAUAUUUUGUAGCAAGGUUAACCGUAUAGGGGAGCCGUAGGGAAACCGAGUCUUAACUGGGCGAAUAGUUGCAAGGUAUAGACCCGAAACCCGGUGAUCUAGCCAUGGGCAGGUUGAAGGUUGGGUAACACUAACUGGAGGACCGAACCGACUAAUGUUGAAAAAUUAGCGGAUGACUUGUGGCUGGGGGUGAAAGGCCAAUCAAACCGGGAGAUAGCUGGUUCUCCCCGAAAGCUAUUUAGGUAGCGCCUCGUGAACUCAUCUUCGGGGGUAGAGCACUGUUUCGGCUAGGGGGCCAUCCCGGCUUACCAAACCGAUGCAAACUCCGAAUACCGAAGAAUGUUAUCACGGGAGACACACGGCGGGUGCUAACGUCCGUCGUGAAGAGGGAAACAACCCAGACCGCCAGCUAAGGUCCCAAAGUCAUGGUUAAGUGGGAAACGAUGUGGGAAGGCACAGACAGCCAGGAUGUUGGCUUAGAAGCAGCCAUCAUUUAAAGAAAGCGUAAUAGCUCACUGGUCGAGUCGGCCUGCGCGGAAGAUGUAACGGGGCUAAACCAUGCACCGAAGCUGCGGCAGCGACGCUUAGGCGUUGUUGGGUAGGGGAGCGUUCUGUAAGCCGUUGAAGGUGGCCUGUGAGGGUUGCUGGAGGUAUCAGAAGUGCGAAUGCUGACAUAAGUAACGAUAAAGCGGGUGAAAAGCCCGCUCGCCGGAAGACCAAGGGUUCCUGUCCAACGUUAAUCGGGGCAGGGUGAGUCGACCCCUAAGGCGAGGCUGAAAAGCGUAGUCGAUGGGAAACAGGUUAAUAUUCCUGUACUUGGUGUUACUGCGAAGGGGGGACGGAGAAGGCUAGGCUGGCCGGGCGACGGUUGUCCCGGUUUAAGCGUGUAGGGGGUGUGACCUGGUAAAUCCGGUUACAUAUUAACCCUGAGGCGUGAUGACGAUGCACUACGGUGCAGAAGUAGUUGAUGCCCUGCUUCCAGGAAAAUCCUCUAAGCUCCAGGUAACAUUAAAUCGUACCCCAAACCGACACAGGUGGUCAGGUAGAGAAUACCAAGGCGCUUGAGAGAACUCGGGUGAAGGAACUAGGCAAAAUGGUGCCGUAACUUCGGGAGAAGGCACGCUGGCAUGUAGGUGAAGUCCCUUGCGGAUGGAGCUGAAGCCAGUCGAAGAUACCAGCUGGCUGCAACUGUUUAAUAAAAACACAGCACUGUGCAAACACGAAAGUGGACGUAUACGGUGUGACGCCUGCCCGGUGCUGGAAGGUUAAUUGAUGGGGUCAGCCGCAAGGCGAAGCUCUUGAUCGAAGCCCCAGUAAACGGCGGCCGUAACUAUAACGGUCCUAAGGUAGCGAAAUUCCUUGUCGGGUAAGUUCCGACCUGCACGAAUGGCGUAAUGAUGGCCAGGCUGUCUCCACCCGAGACUCAGUGAAAUUGAACUCGCUGUGAAGAUGCAGUGUACCCGCGGCAAGACGGAAAGACCCCGUGAACCUUUACUAUAGCUUGACACUGAACAUUGAGCCUUGAUGUGUAGGAUAGGUGGGAGGCUUUGAAGCGUGGACGCCAGUCUGCGUGGAGCCAUCCUUGAAAUACCACCCUUUAAUGUUUGAUGUUCUAACUCUGCCCCAUAAUCUGGGGUGAGGACAGUGUCUGGUGGGUAGUUUGACUGGGGCGGUCUCCUCCCAAAGAGUAACGGAGGAGCACGAAGGUUAGCUAAUCACGGUCGGACAUCGUGAGGUUAGUGCAAAGGCAUAAGCUAGCUUGACUGCGAGAGUGACGGCUCGAGCAGGUACGAAAGUAGGUCUUAGUGAUCCGGUGGUUCUGAAUGGAAGGGCCAUCGCUCAACGGAUAAAAGGUACUCCGGGGAUAACAGGCUGAUACCGCCCAAGAGUUCAUAUCGACGGCGGUGUUUGGCACCUCGAUGUCGGCUCAUCACAUCCUGGGGCUGAAGUAGGUCCCAAGGGUAUGGCUGUUCGCCAUUUAAAGUGGUACGCGAGCUGGGUUUAGAACGUCGUGAGACAGUUCGGUCCCUAUCUGCCGUGGGCGUUGGAAGAUUGAGAGGGGUUGCUCCUAGUACGAGAGGACCGGAGUGAACGCACCACUGGUGUUCGGGUUGUCAUGCCAAUGGCAUUGCCCGGUAGCUAAGUGCGGAAAAGAUAAGCGCUGAAAGCAUCUAAGCGCGAAACUUGCCUCAAGAUGAGUCUUCCCUUGGACUUUGAGUCCACUGAAGGAACGUUUAAGACUAAGACGUUGAUAGGCUGGGUGUGUAAGUGCAGCGAUGCAUUGAGCUAACCAGUACUAAUGAUCCGUGAGGCUUAACCUU